rnacentral:rRNA from 1 species
UACGUAGGGCGCAAGCGUUGUUCGGAAUUACUGGGCGUAAAGGGCGCGUAGGCGGCUUCGUCAGUCAGGUGUGAAAGCCCUGGGCUCAACCCGGGAACUGCAUUUGAUACUGCGAAGCUCGAAUCUCGGAGAGGUUGGUGGAAUUCCCAGUGUAGAGGUGAAAUUCGUAGAGAUCCGGAAGAACACCGGAGGCGAAGGCGGCUUGCUGGGCGUGAUCUGACGCUGAGGCGCGAAAGCGUGGGGAGCGAACAGG